UCCCCGGUUGGUCUGCUGGCAGGGCCCGCCUGACUUUGAAUCAGGACAAGCGACGGUGGUUCGAUUCCACCCCGGGGAG
rnacentral:tRNA from 1 species